rnacentral:rRNA from 1 species
ACUCCUACGGGAGGCAGCAGUAGGGAAUCUUCGGCAAUGGGGGCAACCCUGACCGAGCAACGCCGCGUGAGUGAAGAAGGUUUUCGGAUCGUAAAACUCUGUUGUUAGAGAAGAACGUUAAGUAGAGUGGAAAAUUACUUAAGUGACGGUAUCUAACCAGAAAGGGACGGCUAACCACGUGCCAGCAGCCGCGGUAAUACGUAGGUCCCAAGCGUUGUCCGGAUUUAUAGGGCGUAAAGCGAGCGCAGGUGGUUUCUUAAGUCUGAUGUAAAAGGCAGUGGCUCAACCAUUGUGUGCAUUGGAAACUGGGAGACUUGAGUGCAGGAGAGGAGAGUGGAAUUCCAUGUGUAGCGGUGAAAUGCGUAGAUAUAUGGAGGAACACCGGAGGCGAAAGCGGCUCUCUGGCCUGUAACUGACACUGAGGCUCGAAAGCGUGGGGAGCAAACAGGAUUAGAUA